rnacentral:snRNA from 1 species
GGAUGUGAGGGCGACCUGGCUGCCACAUCUGUCACCCCACACAUCGCCAGGGUUGAUUCAGCUGAUCUGGCUGGCUAGGCGGGUGUCCCCUUCCUCCCUCAGCACUCCAUGUGCGUCCCUCCCCAAGCUGUGCGCUCGGUCGAAGAGGAUGACCCCCAGUAGAGAAAGACCGCUCCUCGGUCAAAGGUAGACAAGUAGCUGCACUCCCCCGCUAGAACCUCCAAACAAGCUCUCAAGGCCCAUUUGGUGGCAUCCUUGGCACCAGAGUCUGCUUGGACAUUUAUUGGUUCCCUCUAU